rnacentral:rRNA from 1 species
GUGCCAGCCGCCGCGGUAAUACCGGCAGUUCGAGUGAUGGCCGCUUUUAUUGGGCCUAAAGCGUUCGUAGCUGGCCGAGCAAGUCUGUCGGGGAAUCCAGUGGCUUAACCACUGGACGUCCGGCGGAAACUGUUCGGCUUGGGACCGGGAGACUCGAGGAGUACGUUCGGGGUAGGAGUGAAAUCCUGUAAUCCUGAACGGACUACCGAUGGCGAAAGCACCUCGAGAGCACGGAUCCGACAGUGAGGAACGAAAGCUGGGGUCUCGAACCGGAUUAGAUACCCGAGUAGUCC